rnacentral:rRNA from 1 species
CUGAGGAUAAUACUGGAUAGGCAAUUUUUCCUGUAAUGGUUUUUUGUUUAAAUGUUUUUUCGCCUAAGGAUGGGUCUGCGGCCGAUUAGGUAGUUGGUUAGGUAACGGCUUACCAAGCCGUUGAUCGGUACGGGUUGUGAGAGCAAGAGCCCGGAGAUGGAACCUGAGACAAGGUUCCAGGCCCUACGGGGUGCAGCAGGCGCGAAACCUCCGCAAUGUGAGAAAUCGCGACGGGGGGAUCCCAAGUGCCAUUCUUAACGGAAUGGCUUUUCAUUAGUGUAAAAAGCUUUUGGAAUAAGAGCUGGGCAAGACCGGUGCCAGCCGCCGCGGUAACACCGGCAGCUCUAGUGGUAGCAAUUUUUAUUGGGCCUAAAGCGUCCGUAGCCGGUUUAAUAAGUCUCUGGUGAAAUCCUGUAGCUUAACUGUGGGAAUUGCUGGAGAUACUAUUAGACUUGAGACCGGGAGAGGUUAGAGGUACUCCCAGGGUAGAGGUGAAAUUCUGUAAUCCUGGGAGGACCGCCUGUUGCGAAGGCGUCUAACUGGAACGGUUCUGACGGUGAGGGACGAAAGUUAGGGGCGCGAACCGGAUUAGAUACCCGGGUAGUCCUAACUGUAAACGAUGCGGACUUGAUGUUGGGGUGGCUUUGAGCUGCUCCAGUGCCGAAGGGAAGCUGUUAAGUCCGCCGCCUGGGAAGUACGGUCGCAAGACUGAAACUUAA